CAUUAAGCGACGAAACACUUGUCAGGUGCUGUCAAGACUCGAAACUAUCGGUGAGAAAAUGUAAACAAAAGAAAAAGAAACCAUGUUUUUCGCGUCAUGACAACAGAGGCCAGCUUCAUGUGACGUUUCGUGUGAAGCAGAAGUUAUCUUUGAGACCAACCGAUGCCCACAGUGACGUGAUGGGCGAACGGGCGAGUGAGUCCAAGGACAAGCCGAAGCGUGAGAAAUUCCCAACGCGUAGGAGUCGCUAAAGCUCAUCGACUUAACAUCCGUCGGCCACUUUGAUGCGGCAGCCAAGGGUUUUCCAGGUAUUCAAAGGUGGAUCACUUGGAGUCAAAAGUCCACAGCGAUGUGGAGGGACCCUCAUCAGGUCGCCGCCCCUCUAUCAGCGUCCACCCGUCCAUUAUUCCCACAUCAGGAGUCUGAAAAUGUGGGCUACGCUCGGCUCGACGCUGCCUCCUUUUAUUGCUCCCAGCUGACUGGCUGCUUUAUGGAGGGUGACACUGGGUGGGCCAGUUCAAUUUGGCGUCCCAUCCCCUCCAAGCUAUGGAUAUUUGCUCUUUCCUACUGCACUUCUAAUGACAUGAAAAAUGGUCACAUUUGUUUCUUUUGCAUGCCAAGAGCAAGAAAAGAGCUCAUCAUGUACUUCCUAAAUUGAAAUACGAUAACACACUAAAGGGCUGUCCAGAUGUUUCAACUGACAGUAUUUAUUUUAAAGUUGUUGAGAACAUAUAGCUUGUGUUUUCCUGAAUAAAACUAAAGAA